CCCCCCCCAAAAAAAAAAAAGGCUGGUUAUGUUUGCCAGAAAAAUUGGAGUUGCUUCCGUGAACAUUCCAAUUGAUUAAUGUUCAACCUUCAGGCAUUGUGGACUGUCAUAGAGUAUGACACUCUUGCCAUCUCAGUCAAAGAGGUAAGCUAUUUUAGAAGGAAGUUUUCUUGGAUGUUGUGCAGUGUGUAUAGAAGAAGAAAAAUAACAGAAAUUUCAGCAUUGCCUAGGAGGAUUUCAUAUCGGUGCUGGAAGCAAUGUUAGAUAAAUAAGCUUAGUGGCCGAACACUUCCAAGGGCAUUUCAGGGAAUGUUAUAUACGGUAAAUGCAGCAAUGGCAACCAUUCAAGUGGUUGUGAGGAAAUGGAUGUAACCUCCUCUAGAAAGAUAUGGAUUCUGCUCUUCUGUCCAAUCAGGGGAGGCUAGAAUAGGAGGCAUAUUAUCAGAAGCUUUGCAACCAAGUUAUGUCAUGCCAUGCAGGUCCAAUGGGGGUAGUAUACUCAAUAGAAGCGUAACUUAGAGCAAGGAUUACAGAAUGAAAUUGCUCAAAAGAAUUCAGAAUCACUUUUUUUGGUGUAUGAUCAUGGGGUGGUGGCAAAAGUGAAUGGAUGAGGAAGCAAGAGUUGUCAUGUUGUCAAAUUAAAGGUUUUUUUUUACUCUAUUUCGUCGUUUUCAAAUUAAGUUCUUGAACUGUUGGAUGAGAUCUCCUCGAUUGAAUGAGGAAGGAAUAGUUUGAUUCUCCCAUCCCUCUUCUAUCCAUUGAUUCUCCUUCUUGUCCCAUAUUCAGUUUUAUAUUUUCUGUGCAUACUUGAGUCUACCUGAGACCUGCUGAAAUAUUCCUUGAGGCCCUCCAUUGGCUGCUGUGCUGCUGAUCUAAGACACUCAAACAUGGGUUGCGGGACUGCUGUUUUGAAGAUUAAAUUUUCUUGGCAGCAAGUUGAGAUCCCAGAUCUUCGUACUUGUUGAUCAUUUAAGGCCCAGCUUCUGGGAAUCGGUUGGCCUCCCUAGGGGCCCCACUCGACCAAUAGUUCAGGCCUUCAAGUGGCUUGGUUAUCGAGAUAUUUAAAAUCUCCAUAUUUUGACCUAAAUUCAAGAAAUGUGGUAAUCUGUCCAGGAUUUUAGUCCGAUAUUUUAGGGUUGGUUUUUUAUUUCCUCUUCUUCUGGCUUUUUUCUGUCAUCGGUUUCUUCGAAGCCUUAUGUCGAGAGAGGCCCUUUCUGGAUUUUCAAGUUGAGACAAGUGUAUAAACAUCAUACAAUAAAGAAAAUGUUCCACAAUGUCGUGAGUCUUGGUUGGACAUGCAUAAUGUGAACUUUAUUUUCUCCCAUCUAACCUCCACUCUCCCUUCUCCCUCCGCCAUCAGUUUUUUCCAUCCCUUCCAUUCUCUGACUCUCUCUUUCCAUCACUUACAUUCUCUGACUCUGGUUUUGGAGAAUUAUUAUGUCGAAAAGAAUUUUUUUUUUUUUCUUAAUCAAGUUUUGACGAUUCAACUAAACGGUGAAGCCUUAAUCGAGCUUUGAGGCAACGAUAGCCCCAAUUUUUUUAUUAUUUAAUCUCUUUUGUUUUUUCUUUUGUUGUAUGAUGUCAAGAGUGACUACAUAGAAUUUAAGGUUACAGACAAAUUAAAUGAUUAGGCUCUUCAAGGUUACAGACUUGGGUAUUGUUCUUAAAUGAUUAAUUGGUUAAAUGAACCUGUGUGUUUUGCCCUUUCAUUUGAUGUCAACUAUGUCUAGGUACAAAGUAAUAAGACAUUGAAUUGUGAAUGUUAAGCAUGAUCUUUUUUCUUAACCAUAUUUUCUAUAAUUAGAUACUUUAUAUUCUUUUUCUUUCAUUUGCUUGUGAACUUGUCAUUAAAGAAGGCCUCAUCCUUGCCUAUAUUCUUGCUCAUGAGUUCCUUCCUAAGACCAUUCUUCUUCUUUUGACAGGGUAGUGACUGAAAGCAACUUUUGAACUCUGAGGCUGGUAUCUCUGUAGCUUAUUCAAUCUCUUUGUAACUCUUUGGAAGGACAUGUGGGAAGGAUCUGGAUUCUAGAGCACAAACUUCACAAUUGUUGGUUGUUUGAUGCUCGUUUGAAAUUAAAGCCGGUGUGCUAUAUUAUUUAAGACUACUUGCCAAGGCUUGCGAGACAUUCAAACCCUUUUGGACCAGGGUCGUGUUAAAUUAUUUAUGCUAUUAUGUACUGGUAUGAAGUUGAAACAGAUAAAUGUUGACAACAUCAAUGCUUGCUGUCUCAUGCAAUUGUAAUCUCUUUUGUCAUCUUCACCUUCACCUUCAUCUAUGUAAUUGCAGAUGUAUACUUAUUUGGAACUCCUAAGAGCUGUGUAAAGUGAUAUAUUACUCUGAUUCUCAA